rnacentral:snRNA from 2 species
UAGUGCUUACAGUUCUUUUUGAAUUUGUCCAGCAGGUCUUCUGGUUUUUACCUGAAGGACCUCA